GUACUAUUAUGUUUAGCUCUGUUAGAAAUAGUUGUAAUUGUGAAAUUGUUUAGAUGACACGAAUGAAGAAUGAUUAGAAAUUUCGAGGACGAAAUUAUUUUUAAGUGGGAUAGGUUGUAACACCCCAAAUAUUUAGAUUUAUUAUAUAAGUUUAAUUAUUAGUAUUUUUCGUGUAUAGCUUAUUAUUUUUAAAUAAUUACAUGAUACAUAUAGAUAUGCACCAUUAAUUUUAUCUAGACUAUUAUUAUUAUUAUUAUUAUUAUUAUUAUUAUUAUUAUUAUUAUUAUUAUUAUUAUUAUUAUUAUUAUUAUUAUUAUUAUUAUUAUUAUUUUUGUUUCCUAUUAGAACUAGAACUCUUUAAAGACUAGUAUAAAUAUGAAAUCAAUUUACAAACCCUAGACAUAGAAACUCGAAGCCAACAGUAAAUUUUAGUCGGGUUUUGGAGAGCUGUGGGGCGCAGGAAACGUGAGGAGCUGGAGUCAGUUUUUCGCAGGAAAUCAAGUUCUGGCAGUUUCGGGAGAACGGCCAUAACUUCCUCCACAGAACUCCGAUUCAGGCGAAACAGGCGGCCACGGAAAGCUCUCUCGAAGACAAAGAAGUCGUAUUUCUGGGCGAAAUAUGAUUUGAGGACGUUUGAGGCUUCAAACGAAGGCUUGAAGCUGACUGAUCUGUUCAGCUGCGAGUUUGACGAAAACUUUAGAAAUUUCAAGAGUUCAUAUAGGGAUGCGUUGGUAGAAAUCAUCAAAGGGAGUUAUCAAUUUCAAGAAUUAGUUUUGCAGUUUCAGAGUCGAAGUGGCCAUGGAAGUGGAGAAUGACUAGGGAUAAGGAUUUCUUUUACAUUGGACAUUUUAGUUGAACUUAUUAAGUUUUAUUUUAUUUUCAUGUUACUACUUUAGUUUUGGCAAGUUGACUUUGAAAUUAGUUUAAAUUUUCUUUAUAAACCAAUAAAUUUUAUUUUCACUA